rnacentral:lncRNA from 1 species
CAGGGUUGUUUUUCAUUGUCUGGAACGGAUUGAUCCAUUUUCCAUUGCUUUCUAUGGGAAAGCACGCCUUGGUUCAAGAACGCUUUGGUUUAAGAACAGACUUCUGGAAUGGAUUAAGUUCGUAAACCGAGGUACCACUGUAGAGGAUUCGCCCCAUUUCUCUCACCGGGGGGGAGGCCCACUGUUCUCCAUCCAAACUAGAUCUAAGGGAACAAGGUCACGCUUCAUACAACUUUCCUGUCUGUAACACCAUUGUCCAUAUCAGAACUCUCUGGAGCCAAGUUGAUCACAACUAGUCCAUGACACAGCAGAGAGUGCACAAUUUGAGUGUGUAUCAGUGAGCCCACUCCCAGACAGAUGUCCAAAGUUUAAAGGCUCCCAGGGGAGGUACAAAUGACUUCCUGGGAAUAUUUUCUGGUCUGACUUGAGAUAGGUAGGGUUGUUGUUUUUUUCCAGGACCCAUUCGCUGCACUGCAGGCUACUGUGUGUUCUCUAUUACAAUCUGCAGUGUCCUGGGAGAAAGCCUCUUUUUAUCCGCUAGUAAUUCUGGCUGUUCUAGAGAUCCUCCCUAGAAACCUGAGAGCACACUGGAGAAUCCAGAAGAUAAAGAGAGUUGAAAUUAAUCGGAAAGUCUUCAUGAGAUAAGAUUGAAGUCAAGAGAAACGAGAAUCCCACAAUUACUAUUUACUCGGGGGGUAGGAUCGGGGGAAAUGAAGCAACUUGACGCAAAGGUUAACAAGAAGCAGGGACAACACAGCAAAAGUGAAAUUCAUCACGAAAACUUUCCCCCACCCUCUCUCGCCCUCUACCUCAGCCUUUCCGGUGAGUUUAAUGUUAAGGUUCUAAAUAUACAACCCGUUAGCUUUCCCUGUAAAUAAUCACAUUGAAAUGAUAAAAGGUCAGAAAGUGAGUAAAAUCAGGAGCUUACUGAUGCUUAAAUGAGCUUUGAAAAAUUGAACUGGCUCCCAGCUUGCCCUUCAUAAAGCCCCUUCAUUUUGGUAAGAACGUUUAAUAUCUUUGUGCUAUUUAUCCUGUGUGAGUAGAGUUACUAUGUCAUAUUACUGAGAAGGCAAAUCAUACAAGGAGUCAGGGCAUAUGAGAAACUUGAACUUUGGGUCAAUAAGCUGAGAUACACUCCAACAGCAGAACAAGACUAGGACUUUCUUUUGUCCCUCAUGAUAUUAGCCCAGAUACAGUUCUUUCUGGCUCAAAGCAGGCUGCCAUUUUCCUUCCAUGCUUACUAUAUGUUUAAUUUUACUCACUGUCUUUGAACAGCAAAAGCUAGAAGACCAGGCAGUGUGCUCCUAUCACAUUCCAUGCACUAGAAAUUGGGGAGGGUGGUUUGGGGGUCUCAAACAGAGAAACAACAAACAGAGAAAAACCACUUGGCUUCACUGUUAACACUUAAUCUUUGCAACCAGGGAAGAGCGGUGGAACAAUAAAUUGGUUCAUUAGAAUAAGGACACUGAAAGCUAUUUCAAUCCAUAGGAAAUGGGAUAAUCAGCUUGGAAUAUUACAGAAACCCUUAAUAGCCUCUGACCAAAACAAAAGCUAAGUGUCAAGCUACACAAAGCUCAUCUCCCAAUAAGCCCACUAACUAGCAAAAAGCUAAAACACUGGAGGGAAAUCCAUAGAACGGAAACUGUAUUCACUAAUCCACCAGAAUCGCUGGAUUAUCUACUUAGCACACCAAAAUAAAAGAGGGAGGGGAAGGGAGGGCCCCCCCUUUAAUUUCUCUGCUUAAUUACAAGUCAAGUUUUGCAGGACAUUCAAAACAUUAUAAAUGAAACAAAACCCCUUAAACAGCUUACUUAACGCUGAGCUGUGAAUCACUUCCCUCCCUCCGCCAAAAAAUUAAUUUAAACGCAUCUCCAAGUAUUUAUUCUGCUUUUCUUCAGUCUGUCUUCAUUUGUUCAGCCUUCAGCAUUAACUCACCAAAACAUUUUGACUCAAAAGAAAUCUAUCCUCUCAUUAGCGCUGAGAAGAAGUUGAACAACUCCAUUUAAGCUUGAUAGAAGUUAUGAAACCUUAAAGGAAGUUUUGCAGCAAAUGAAACAAACAGAUUUGGUUUAAGAAAGGGAAAGGAAGAUUUGGAGGUUCAUUUAGAACCAAUGGAAGGCAGCAUAUCUGAAAACUCUCCCAGUACACGAAUCCAGAAAACGGGUACAAAUUUUCCUUUCUCUGCAAGCCCCUUCGCCGCCACCCCAUGCUGUUCAAAAGGUCCCCCCCCCCAAUUUGUAGCAGAUUUGGGAGGUCCAAGGAGCAGCUGGAAGGAAGGGAAAUCACUGAAAAAUCACCUCUCACCAUUCUACUGACUGAAGCUUCUAUAUGACCUCCAUCAAUGGAGGGAUAGAACCCUAUACAUUUUGCGUGGUGAGUAACAUAGUUCAUAAAGUUUAUUUAGGAACAAAAAUGCAAAAUCGUCAUCCUGGAAGCCUUCACAACAGAAGGCGCUGAUUUAAAAGAAGGUUUAGAAAAAAUACAAUAUAUCUAUGCUAAAUAAUGCACGAAUGAGGAGUAUAUUCAAGUAGUUGACAGUUGCAGGGAGAAGAUUAGGCGGGUCAAAGCUCAGAAUGAGCUCAGGCUUGCAAGAGAGGUUAAAUAUAAUAAAAAGGGUUUCUUCAGCUAUGUGAGGAGUAAGAGGAAGAACAAGCAAGUGGUAGGUGCACUGCAUGGAGAAGAUGGAGAGAUACUAUUGGGUGGCAGAAAGAAGGCAAAACAUCUCAACACCACCUACUUUGUCUCUAUCUUCGCCUAAAAGGAAAGCAGUGCCCAACCUGGUGAUAACAGAAUAAACAAUGCAAGCAGAGAGCUACAGCCCAAGAUAGGAAAAGAGGUGGUAAGGGAACACCUAGCUACUUUAAAUGAAUUUAAAUCUCCGGUGUCUAAGGGCACGCAAGGAGCUUGCAGAUGUAAUCUCAGAGCCUCUGUCUAUAAUCCCUGAGAAUUCUCAGAGAACAGGUGAGGCUCCUGCAGAUGGAAGAUGGGCCAAUGUUGUCCCCAUCUUCAAAAGGGGGGAAAGGAAAACCUGAGUAACUACCAGCCGGUGAGCUUGACAUCAAUACCAGGAAAGGUCCUGGAACAGAUAACUAAACGGUUAGUUUGAGAGCACGUAGAAAAGGAUGCUGUGAUUACUAAGACCCAGGAUGGAUUUCUCAAACACAAGUCAUACCAGAAACAUCUAUCUUUCUUUUUUAAUAAAAGCUUGGCGGAUCAGAGGGAUGCUGUGAAGAUAGUGUACCUUGAUUUCAGUAAGGCUUUGACAAAGUCCUACAUGAAAUUCUUGCAGAGAAGCUGGUAAAACGUGGGCUGGACAAGGUAACUGUUCGGUGGAUUUGCACCUGGUUGACUGACCGAGCCCAGAGAGUGCUCACUAAUGCGUUGUCAUCAUCCUGGAAAAAGUGGGGUGCUGCAGGGUUCUGUCCUGGGCCCGUUGUUGUUCAACGUCUUUAUAGAUAAAGGAAUUGAGAGGAUACUCAUCAAAUUUCCAGGUGGCACAUUCCCUCGGGAGGUGGUGGACUCUUCUUCAUUGGAAGUGUCUAAGCAGAGGUUAGGUGGCCAUCUGUCAUGGAUGCUUUAGUUGAGAUUUCUGCAUUGCAAAGGGGUUGGAGUAGGUAUUCCUUGGGGUCCCUUCCAACUCUACAAUUCUACGAUUCUAUGAUUCUGUGACUCAGUUCCAAUGUGCCAGCUAUCAACAGAAAUUAUAUUGCAUAUGUAAUUAACUCAAGUCAAUUUAUGACUAUUUUGCUUAAUGAAAACUUCAAAGCUCUGGGAAAGGCAUGCUUUCCUGACCUAAAAAAUAAGCACUUUGAAGUUCCUGAUGAAAAUAGAUUCACACUGCAAUAUACAACUGUAUAAUCAAUUGUAUAAAAUACUGUAAUACAUUCACUGCAUUUGCAAAUGAAAUAAGAUUGCAUGUGAUAUGCAUUAGCAACCCCAAAGUUAAAUGAAAUUAUUUUCUCUCUAUGCAUUGAAAAUGUUCUUUUUUAUUUUAAGUACCUUAAGGGAAAGUUUAAUGUUUUUGCUCUGAUCUUAUAAAAUGCCUAACUUCAUCAUUUUACUACAUUAAAAUUAUAUUUAUGCAAAACACUGAAGUGUUUUGCGUAUUUAAUACAGCUAAGAAAAAAGUAGAUUUUAUAGUGCACAAAAAAAGACUAUUUUACUAUCUUUGGUGUGUGUUUUCCAGUAGUUUUGCUGCACACAAAGCUGCUCUACCUUCUCUGAGAGCUUAGUAAAGCCAACUUAUGAUCAAUGAUCUUGUCAAGAAGAACUGCUUUUAAAAAAUCUGGUAGCUGACAUAAAUGUCAUUUCUACUGCACAAGGAAUCUUGACCCCAGCCACAACUGAAGUAUCUUUAGGAAUAUUGAACACAAUACAAAAUAUAACUUGGGAGUUAACGUUACCUAUUUUUUCCUCUUCUCUAGUGGUAACAAAUUAAACAGAAGACAGCCACUUAAAAAAUAUUCUUACUACUUAUGACUAAAAUUGGUCUCUAACGAUCUCUGUGCCAUUUAAUUAUGUUUUGAACAGUUGUGAUUUCCAAGAGCACGCAGUCUAAGUUCUCUGAUAAAUAAUUAC